AUGCCAUGGUAGCAUAUGUACUAAAAUUGAAAUGAUACAGGCAAGGGCAGCAUCGUGCUUGCAUAAGAAUGACAUGAAUGUGGUGAAGAAUGUUGUAUUUAU